AUUGAACGCUGGCGGCAGGCCUAACACAUGCAAGUCGAACGAGUGGCGGACGGGUGAGUAAUGUCUGGGACACUGCCUGAUGGAGGGGGAUCACUACUGGAAACGGUAGCUAAUACCGCAUACCAUCAGAUGUGCCCAGAUGGGAUUAGCUAGUUGGCGGGGUAACGGCUUACCAAGGCGACGAUCCCUAGCUGGUCUGAGAGGGUGACCAGCCACACUGGAACUGAGACACGGGCCAGACUCCGACGGGAGGCAGCAGUGGGGAAUAUUGCAAGAUGGGCGCAAGCCUGAUGCAGCCAGGCCGGGUGUAUGAAGAAGGCCGUCGGGUUGUAAAGUACUUGCAGCGGGGAGGCGUUACCCGCAGAAGAAGCACCGGCUAACUCCGUGCCAGCCGCCGCGGUAAUAC
rnacentral:rRNA from 1 species